rnacentral:rRNA from 1 species
CUGGUUUUCUGCGAAAUUUGUUUUAGCGAAGAGUUUAUUUUAUUAUUAGUAGGUAUAGCACUGAAUAUUCCUAACUUAAGAGGUUAAAAUCUUAAGUUAUAAGAGGGAGUGAUAAAAUUACUUAUCUCGAAUGUUUAAUCUCAGAAUGACUAAUAAGAUUAGAUAAGCUUAAGGACUUAUAGCGAUAAGGUGGUAAGUCUAAAGGGAAACAGCCCAGAACAGUAAAUAAAGCUCCCCAAUUAAUAUUAAGUGAGAAUUCCCA